rnacentral:rRNA from 1 species
CUACAGAGGGUGCAAGCGUUAUUCGGAAUUACUGGGCGUAAAGCGCGCGUAGGCGGAUGAUUAAGUCAGUUGUGAAAGCCCUGGGCUCAACCUAGGAACUGCAUCUGAUACUGGUCGUCUAGAGUUUAAGAGAGGGAAGUGGAAUUCCAGGUGUAGCAGUGAAAUGCGUAGAUAUCUGGAGGAACAUCAGUGGCGAAGGCGACUUCCUGGCUUAAAACUGACGCUGAGGUGCGAAAGCGUGGGUAGCGAACGGGAUUAGAAACCCUAGUAGUCC